GAUGAACGCUGGCGGCGUGCCUAAUACAUGCAAGUCGAGCGAACAGACGAGGAGCUUGCUCCUCUGACGUUAGCGGCGGACGGGUGAGUAACACGUGGAUAACCUACCUAUAAGACUGGGAUAACUUCGGGAAACCGGAGCUAAUACCGGAUAAUAUAUUGAACCGCAUGGUUCAAUAGUGAAAGACGGUUUUGCUGUCACUUAUAGAUGGAUCCGCGCCGCAUUAGCUAGUUGGUAAGGUAACGGCUUACCAAGGCAACGAUGCGUAGCCGACCUGAGAGGGUGAUCGGCCACACUGGAACUGAGACACGGUCCAGACUCCUACGGGAGGAAGCAGUAGGGAAUCUUCCGCAAUGGGCGAAAGCUUGACGGAGCAACGCCGCGUGAGUGAUGAAGGUCUUCGGAUCGUAAAACUAUGUUAUUAGGGAAGAACAAAUGUGUAAGUAACUAUGCACGUCUUGACGGUACCUAAUCAGAAAGCCACGGCUAACUACGUG
rnacentral:rRNA from 1 species